CCUAGUCACGCUGCUGCACUUGUUCGAGAGAAGACUUCCGAGCCACGCUUCAGUUAUGCCUCAACUUGGUGUACUUGCCUCGAACGCUUAAUGUGACC